AGACAAACACAUGGAGAAUCACACUGGUAAAUAUAGUCACUAGACAAACACAUGGAGAAUCACACCGAUAAGUACCCAUGUAAACAUUGUGGUAGAGAAUUCUCCAGCCAGGCAGGAAGGACUAUCCAUCUCAACAGUCACAACAAAGAGAAACAAACCAGUAAACACCCAACAGAUAAGUUUCCCUGUGAGCAGUGUGGCAAACAAUUCUCAGCAGCAAGCAGGGCCCUUCAUCUUACC